rnacentral:rRNA from 1 species
UACGGAGGGUGCAAACGUUGCUCGGAAUCAUUGGGCGUAAAGCGCACGUAGGCGGACCGCUAAGUCGGAUGUGAAAGCCCUCGGCUUAACCGAGGAAGUGCAUUCGAAACUGACAGUCUUGAGUAUGGAAGAGGGUCGCGGAAUUCCCGGUGUAGAGGUGAAAUUCGUAGAUAUCGGGAGGAACACCAGUGGCGAAGGCGGCGACCUGGGCCAAUACUGACGCUGAGGAGCGAAAGCGUGGGGAGCGAACAGG